ACAAGGAUUUGAUUCUUUUCUCUAUGAACGACUGUAUACAUAUAUACACACACACGCGCGCGCGUUCAGCGCUUAUGCGUACUCUCCAUUCUAGUCCGAUUGAUAUUAAGCGGACGAAUAGAGAACGAAGAAAAGGAGCCUGUGGUUGAAGGACCGCGUUAUCAACGAACAAAACUGUAUUAAAAAAAUGUAUUAACAAACGAAACGGAUAAAAGGAAACCAUUCUGUACGUUAACAUUUUUUAAAUUCGUUUGCUUUGAAGAGGAUAUAAGGACAGUUGAUAAUAAAUGAAACAGAGAUUACGAUUUGAUAAAGAGAGUUGUUUGGAAGAGAGCAUUCAAAUGUUUAAUCCUAGUUAAAUAAAGAGAAAACCGUUUUUCGUGAGACUAAACAUGAGAAUUGUAAAAUCUUUUUGCGACUUGUUGAAAAGAAAAAUAAGAGUAUGAAACUCCUCGCAAAAGUGUUUUGCAUCCCGUAGUUCAAUUUUACAAAUAAACACUGUACCGAAUCAUAUUAGGGUAAUUGUGUUAUUCUACUUCCUAUUGAAUUGAUGUAAAUACAGUCUUUUACUUCGAACGACAUUUUGAGGAAAAAUAAAGUUUACAAAGUCGGAAUUAUUGGGGAUGUAACAGUUUUUCGUAACUAAUCGCAAAUUUCAAUCAAAACUGCUAUGUGUUAAUGAGAUAAAUAAAGAGAUCAAAAUAA